rnacentral:rRNA from 1 species
GACGAACGCUGGCGGCGUGCUUAACACAUGCAAGUCGAACGGUAAGGCCCUUCGGGGUACACGAGUGGCGAACGGGUGAGUAACACGUGGGUGAUCUACCCUGCACUUCGGGAUAAGCCUGGGAAACUGGGUCUAAUACCGGAUAGGACCACUGCCUGCAUGGGUGGUGGUGGAAAGCUUUUGCGGAGUGGGAUGGGCCCGCGGCCUAUCAGCUUGUCGGUGGGGUGAUGGCCUACCAAGGCGACGACGGGUAGCCGGCCUGAGAGGGUGACCGGCCACACUGGGACUGAGAUACGGCCCAGACUCCUACGGGAGGCAGCAGUGGGGAAUAUUGCACAAUGGGCGCAAGCCUGAUGCAGCGACGCCGCGUGAGGGAUGACGGCCUUCGGGUUGUAAACCUCUUUCAGCACCGACGAAGCGCAAGUGACGGUAGGUGCAGAAGAAGGACCGGCCAACUACGUGCCAGCCGCCGCGGUAA